rnacentral:lncRNA from 1 species
AACUGAGAAAAAACACUGAUCAGUGGAUUUUCUUAGCAUCAUAUCCACAGACUCUUGGUGAGACCUGCAGGUUGGCAGAGUAGCGGACGAGUCUUUGCGUUGUACGUGAUGGCCCUUCAGACCCAUUUAGAGGAAAUAUCAUGUUGGAGAGUCCAUAGCGAGGAUCUUGAAAAGGGAUGACAGCGAAAUAUGAGACCUGCAAUGAACUCCAACGAGGUAGGCAGAUGAUAAUAGAAUCAGAUGCUGACCAGGAAAAUAUUUUAUCCGAACCCUUGUCACUUAGACUUUUGCAUUUUUCCUGAACCUUCUCAGAUGUUCUCCAGAAGAGUACCUGGAGGUGCAAAGGAUGUCUGGGCUGAACCUGAUGCAGCUGUUUCUCUACGACGUACUUCGGCAGAGAACGGGCAACCACUGAAAUAAUUGCAAGAUUUUAGUGCAUGUGAUCUGAGUUUUAAGAAGAAUUUCUAUGUAUGGAACGACUAAGGCACAAGAAAACAGCAUAGCAGAGAUGAGCGGUAAAAUUGGACAUCUAAGGAGAGGACGAGCUUAAUGCAGUUCAUAUUUAUAUAUGCCAAAAAAAACUUUAAAAAAUAAUAUCUAAGAACAUGUACAAAAAAACGGUGUACAAUGCUAUUCAAGGAACUGAUUUAAAGCAGAACAAGAUCCAUGAAUCAAAGGCUACAGAAACUUGGAAACGUAGCUUAUGUCUUUUUAACGCAAGCAAUUAUUUUUCAAACCACUCAAAAAACCAAACAUGAAGAAGAUUAUGAUUCAAAAUUAAUAUAUUAAGUCACUGGAAAAAUUAUAUAAUACAUGGAGUCCUAAAAAAAUCAAGAAAUAUUAAUGGAUAAUAUAGGAUUUCCCAAACAAGGAUCAGACCAUCGUGUACCUCAGAGAUUCGCACAGGAAGAUGGAAAACGUUGAUGAGACAGGCAACUAAUUUUAGUUCUCAGCCUUGGCUCAUUUUCCCCUUCUCAUUCUUCUUCUGCUCAGAGCAUUCCAUCAUGAUCUCAAAACACCCUGGCUCCUUUAUUCAUCUCUCUACAACCUCGAGUACUCAUCAUGAGAAUCUCAAACAUUUAUGAGCCAUUUCGAGGGUUGCUGACAUGCAUGCGCAUGGUGUCAUGCAUCUAUGCAUCUCAGAUGGUUCUCUAACCCCCAAAAAUUGGAACAGCUGCCCCGGUGAAUAAGUGAGGCGAGUAAAUCUGUCUCAUGAGAAUCUUUGAGACGUAAAUACAAGUAUCUGACCUAGAUCACUGCAACAGAUAUUCCUAAGUAUAACUUUUGACCUAGAAAAAACCUAAGCCAAAAAAAUAAAUAAAAAAACUCAAAUAAUUUUUCUUAACCCUCCAAUGAACCAAACUCACUUUCCUAAGCUCAGUAAGCUGUCUCCCGCGAGUCUCCCGGGAACCUCUUCAUCGAGUAGCAAAGAUCAAUUAUCUAUUCGCACUUAGACAUAUCAAAAAGGGUCUGACGGGGAGAUGCGAUUCUAGCGCAUCAGCUGGUCAUCCAUGCGCGAGACAGCAGCCAUGGCGUUGAAGAUAGGCCUCAUAAUCCAUUCAUCCUCCAUGAUAUGGAGAACCCAAAAAAGGGCAGCUAGAUGUGAAGAUAACUCAACUAGCUGCCAGACUACAGGUCCUGGAAUAAGGCAACGAUGGCAGCUCACCCACCUCUUCUAGUGUGAUCUCGUCGUCGAUAAAAAAAGAUCGGAAAGAGAGUUAAUAUCUCUCCCUUACAGAAGAGGCACCGCCGCUCACGCCAAUCCCCAAAUUCGCCUUCUCGUCUACCCAGAAGGUUUGGGCAGACAGGAAAUGGCAAGAUUAUUUGACCGGUAACGAGAUAGAUUACGCUACAAAUCGGGCAAAGUCAAACGGCGUGAUCCCGCAGAUGAUUCUCCGCAAGGAAAAUAGAGAAAAUAUUCAGAAGCGGAGGGAACAGAAAGGAAGAGAGGAACUCAAAC